rnacentral:lncRNA from 1 species
AUGAUACACCUGAUGUGUGCAGAAAAAGAUGCUAAUUUCUAUGCUCCUAUCCAUCAAGGCAAAUUCUGUGGAACUCAUAGCAACCUGAACAGUGAACUUUGUUCAUCAACGGAUUCAAAUACAUCAAAUGGGCUGAAACAGGCAAUAUUCAUGGGGACUCAAUAUUAUAUUGUUAAUUACCACUAGGCCGUAUAACAUAAUGGAUCCGAAUAGCUAACACUCUUUGAGGACUUACCAUGGGUUGUAUACCUGAGUAAGUAUGUUCCUAGAUUGACUUAUUUAAUCUUUGCAACAAUUCUGAGGUAAGUAAAAUUAAUUUUCAGAGGUUUAUUCUUAAGAAAGAAUAAAAGCUGAAAGGAUAAAGGAUAAUUUGCCCAAGUUGCUUCUGAGAUAAGUCAGUAUUGAAGAAAAAAUACUCAGAAAAAUGCCUUAGCAUAUAGUAAGUGCUAGUGGACUUCUCUGAUGGUUCAGUGGGUAAAGAAUCCACCUGCAAUGUAAGAGACACAGGAGACAGACGUUCAAUCCUUGGGUCAGGAAGAUCCUCUGGCGGAGGGCAUGGCAACCCACUCCAGUAUUCUUGCCUGGAGAAUCCCAUGGACAGAGGAGCCUGGUGGGCUACAGUCUAUGGGGUUGCAAAGAGUCACACACAAUUGAGCACAUACACAGAAAAUUUGAGCUGUUAUUAUUAACAUAAAACUAUUCUCCUAAUAGGUCUUCUCAGGUGGUUCCAGAGUUAAAGAACCCAUCUGCCAAUGCAGGAGACAUAACAGACUUGAUCCCUGAGUCUGGAAGAUUCCCUGGAGGAAGGCAUGGCAACUCACUCCAGUAUUCUUUCCUGGAGAAUCCCACGGACAGAGGAGCCUGGCAGGUUACAGUCCCCAGGAUCACACAGAAUCAGACACGACUAAAGCGACUUAGCCUGCCCAAAUGCCUUCUCCUAAUCACCCUCAUCACAGCAGUUCUGUGAGAAGUAUUGUUACGAUCAUUUUCAUAUGAAGAAAACAAAGCUCGAGCAGGCACAUCACCUGCCCCAAGUCUUCUGACAGCAGCCGGGCUUGUUGUGCUGCAUCACAGCUUUUGUUCAUUGUUCACACUGCCCAUCUGUGAGGCU